rnacentral:misc_RNA from 1 species
UUUAGGGAGACCAUCUGAUAUUCGACCGAACCUAAAAUAUAGGUCGUUGUCAGUCAUCCCUGGUCGUUCGAGGAAUAGAUGUCAAAGCUUUCAAACUAUUAACUGGUUCGGAAUAUGGACUCCUAGCUCAGUGGGUUAGAACACUCUACUCUCACUAUCACUUGCCUCGCCUAUCACCAACCACAAAAAGAGAGAGAAAUCAGCACCCAGACUAACUUGGUCUUUUGAGAUCGCAGAAGUCGGAAUGCUGGAGUCGAAAACUCUAGUCAGAACCUUGAAAACUGCAUAGAAAUUAAGUCAUCAAAGCGUGUCUAUCAUCCGAUUGCUCGUUCGAUAUGACAAGCGACACCAUCAAAAGAUUAAGU